rnacentral:rRNA from 1 species
CGGCGGACGGGUGAGUAAUGCCUAGGGAAAUCUGCCUGGUAGUGGGGGACAACGUUUCGAAAGGAACGCUAAUACCGCAUACGUCCUACGGGAGAAAGCAGGGACCUUCGGGCCUUGCGCUAUCAGAUGAGCCUAGGUCGGAUUAGCUAGUUGGUGAGGUAAUGGCUCACCAAGGCGACGAUCCGUAACUGGUCUGAGAGGAUGAUCAGUCACACUGGAACUGAGACACGGUCCAGACUCCUACGGGAGGCAGCAGAA